GCCAGGGGGCCUCAGCUGGUAGAGCAUAGGGCUAGUUACCUGAGGUCGCAGGUUUGAUUCCUGUUCAGGUCA